rnacentral:rRNA from 1 species
CUUUUUGUAUUGAUUGAAAGUCUUACCUGCCCAAUGAGUUUUGAAUGGCCGCGGUAUUUUGACCGUGCAAAGGUAGCAUAAUCAUUAGUCUUUUAAUUGGAGGCUGGAAUGAAUGGUUUGACGAAAUAAUAGCUGUCUCUUUCAUAAGUUUUGAAUUUUACUUUUGAGUCAAAAGGCUUAAAUGAYRGAGGGGGACGAGAAGACCCUAUAGAUCUUUAUUUGUGCAUUUUCUUGUUUACGUAUUGGUUGUUUAAGUAUAUUAGGGAGUGAUGAAUUUUGUUGGGGUGACGUGAGAAUAGUGAAGAGCUUCUUGUUGAAGAUACUUAGAUUAUUGGGUAAGUGAUCCUUUAUUAUGGAUUUAAGAUUAAGAUACCUUAGGGAUAACAGCGUUAUUUCAUUUGAGAGUUCUUAUUGACAAUGAAGAUUGCGACCUCGAUGUUGGAUUAUGAUUGCAUUUUGGUGCAGAAGCUAUAAGUGUUGGUCUGUUC